AAAAUCGAAAAUUCGACCUGUUUGGACUGUAGAUCAUUCUAUCGCGUCAAUGGCGAAGACCGAUGUGGCAAUCUCGUUCCAAAGAAACUCGCCACGAACAAUGAAUGAAACGACAAGAUUCCUUGGAUUCCAAUUUUUUCAAAACAGUGACUGGAAGAUCCCCAGCUCACUGGCACUAAAAAGGGAACAAAAAAAUAAAAAUAAAAAAACGCGACGACGACGAUUGUCCAAAUAUCCCGUUUUUCCUUCUCUUUUUUCUUUUUUUCCCGUGUGCUGCUGCUGAAUGAGAGACUACUGAGUGGUGUUGUUACCGCUACCGCUCAGAGGAGCGUUGGUGUUGUUCCCGGGACCGCCCAGACCGAUAGUCUCCUUGGUCUUCUCGUAAGCUUGCUUCGCAGUAUCGGUAGCCUGCCAAACAAUCCACCAACUUUAGAGAUCGAAAAUGAAAGACUAGAGCGAGAAUUGAGAAACCAAACGAGCGAACCUAACAACUCUAGCAAAUAUCUAUUCAAACCAAGCGAACACGACCAAAGAAACGCAACAUCUUGGAAGAGAAUCUUUUUGCUUACCUUCUGGACGAGUCCGGCAGCUUGAUCCUUGGCAGCGUAUGCCGCAUCCGUAGCCGACUGCAUGUAUCCCGACGCCGUAUCCUGCGUCGUAUCCUUGGCCGCGUACGCCUUCUCCGUCACCACGUCCGCGGCCGACUUGGUCUUGUCACCCGCCUGGUUCGCGGUGGCCGCGGUCUGGUCCUUGGCGGCAUAGGCCUUGUCCGCCACCGUGUCCUUGGCGGCAUAUGCCUUGUCCGCCACCGUGUCCUUGGUGGCAUAUGCCUUGUCCGCGGCGGUAUCCUUGGUGGCACGAGCCUUGUCCGCUGCCGUCUGGCCGGUUCCCUUGGAUUGAUCCAUGGCGGCGUGAGUUUUCUCGCUGGCGGCCUGCCCCAAGCCGUGAGUGGUAUCGCUUGCCUUCUGGCCAGCGCCCUGGGAGAGAUUCCAAAAGAAGAAAUGAUAAGAUCAAUCGAGAGAACUGUAGAAUUUUUCAAAGCACACACAAGACCAAGGUGGCAAAGUGCUGGAGAUGGAAAACAUGGAUCAAACAGGAGUAGAGUAGAACCGAAAGAAAGAAGUAAAAACGAAAUCCCAAGAAAGAUCAGGGACGGACAAGAAACAUCGCGAAGAACAUGAUCUACAAGCUAGAGAUCUUGCAAAGAUGGCAGAUUUCUGGGAUCCAGGAAAGAAAUCCACACAAACCUUGGUGUGCUGAGCGGCCUUAUCGGCGCUCUCGUGGCCGGCCUCCUUCACCUUGUUUGCCUGAUCCGCCAUAGCUAUAGCUUUGCUUGCGUGAGCGAGGGCGAAGAUUAAACUCCUUUUUCCUUUCCUAGAGAGAGAACGAUAGAACUUUUGGGCAAACGAUGUGCUUGCGAAACGUUCGUCGGCCUCUUUUCAAGAACUGCCGCGAGGUGUCACGUGUUGGCAAGGCAGCGACUAGCGCCAUGCACGGCUACACGUGUCCACGUAGCCGGACGCGUGGAGGCUUGUGGCAGCUGCUACGUGUCGGGAUUGCGAGGUUGACACGUGGAUUGAACUGUUGGCGCUUUGAUUGAAAUUGACUUUUGCUGACCAAUGGAAAGCAAGAGGAAAUUUCUUUUUAUAUUAUUGCUCUUGUUUUAUACAGUGGAAAUGUUUUCAUCAUCGAAAGGAAGCUUACAAAGAAAUUUUUCUAGCGAAAGAAGUUCGAUAGAAGGAAAGAAUUUAGAAUGCGAUGAUGAGAAGAAACGACCAAGUAAAAGAAGUACUGUAGAUCGAUCCAGGCUUGACAAAGAAAGAACGAAGAAGAUCAUCUCGAACUUUGUAUAGCGAUCGAUCAGCGAUAAGGAAAUUCGCGGAGCAAAAGGAUUGCUAGCAAAAACCAAAGAAACGAAGAACAGGGAAGAGAAGCAAAAGAAUGCGAUGAUCGAUAAACAACGAAGAACAGUAGGACAAAGAGAAGAAUGCGAUGAUCGAUAGGCAACGAAGAACAGUAGGACAAAGAAAAGAAUACAAUGAUCGAUAGGAAGGAAGAAGAAUGAAGAGAUUUUAGUGAGUGGAGCGAUCUAGAGUCGUGGAGGAGGAGGAUGCUUUACUGCCACAGUCGGGGCUCUCAUCAAAAUUGGAAGCCGGGUAAGAGGCCGAGAGAAUUCCCACCUGGAACACAACCUUCUCGUUCUCCAUGUAGAUCCCAGUCAGCUCCCACCACACCAAUAACACCUUGACAUAAACUCCCGAGAGAUCUUUAAUCGAUCCAUAGGACAGCAAUCCCUCGAUCUUGGCCCUGUACUCCACCGGAUACGCGCCCGGGAUGGUCACGUCGCAUUUGGCGUCGAGCUUGAGCACGAAUCGGCCGCUGUUGUCGAGCGUGUAGCCCUCGACGUUGCUGGGCAGCAAGCCCCCUGGAAAUCCAUUGCGCUCCAGCAGAUCCUGCGCAGUCAUCGUGUCAUUGCCGCCAGUGCCGAUCGAGAGAUCCAUGGCUUGGCCGUGGAUUAGGGCGAGCAGCACCAGCGCCAGCGAGAAGAAAUCGAUCGCCAUCGUCGUCUUCUUCCUCUUUAACGAAGAACCCUAAAAUUACUUUUACCCCUAAGCUGGAAUUCGAACCUGUGACCUGUCCUCGUUGGGAUGAAUGGAUAAAUGGCGGGCAUUCUCUUGCCUCACUGUGGAGCGCUUCUAGGGCGAAAUAUUUCGUGGCGAUUGGAGGAAGCGCGACGGCGCCAGAGAGGAGAUGGAAGCCGCUGUUGGCGCCGUCGGCGAUUUGGAUGCUGUUGCGUGUUCCAUGUGAGUUUGCUUUGAUGGAUUGCUGGAUCCAAUGCGCUCUCCUUUCGUGUCUGAUUCCUCUUUCGUUGCUACCGUGUGUCGAUUCCUGUCUUGAAUGCCAGAUCNNNNNNNNNNNNNNNNNNNNNNNNNNNNNNNNNNNNNNNNNNNNNNNNNNNNNNNNNNNNNNNNNNNNNNNNNNNNNNNNNNNNNNNNNNNNNNNNNNNNUGGCUGUUGAGCACAGCCAAAACAAUUGCCUGCUCUCGUCCAACAUUCACCACGUAGUGAAGCACGCCUCGCGGGAUCACGAACAGAUCACUGGCACGCAUCUUGUGGGCAAAAAGCUUGUUGUUCGUGUCCACGAAGCCAGCCUCCACAACACCCUUCUCGACGUAAACAAGCUCGCUCGCCCGGGGAUGAGUAUGAGUCCUGGCAACACCCUUGGGCCCGAGAUAGAUCCGCGCCAUGGACAGUCCCAUGGUGUUGAGAGCCGGGAAAGUGGUGACGAUGGCUUGCGAGAAGUUGAAGAGAGGGUUGAGGGUGUUUGUAGUAUCGGUGUUGGUGCGGAGGAGGCUCGAGUAGAAGUCUUUGGAGGUGACUUGGGAGUAUGGCUUGCAGGGAGAGCCUUCGAUCAAGGUGUUGCUGGGGAUGCAAAAGUCCUGGAGUGGAUCGGGGUCGGCAGCUUCCACAAGAGAGAAGAUGCGAGCUGAGGAGAGAAAUGUGAGAGCUACAAGGAAUGUAUUCAAAGCCAUUGGAGAUCUGAAACUCUCGAUCACUCUCUUGUGUUAUAAGUUAUCUGAAAGGUUUGGGUUUUUAUGCUUUGCCGUGAGGAGAAAUUUCUUCAGUCUCCUGGUUUCUGAAAAAGCGGGACACGUUCUCAGGUGCACAUGGAUGACUUUGAAUGUUUGCUCUAGGGAAUUAAAAUUAUUUAUAUCACGAUGAAUGCGUAUAAUGCAUAGAUAACCAUUGGAAAUAACCGCAAGGCGAGCAUCCGGCAAUCUUUCCAAACCUAAAAACUGGAAGAUUCAUGGCACGUUCGAUAAUGGUUAAACAACCCUAAACGCAGCUGGAAUAAACCUCAUGCCGGAAUCUUUUCGAAUCUGUUGAUUCCAGAGAGGCGAUCUUUUUUUUCGCCAAGAAUCUCUUCAAUCGCGGACUUACUGUGAGGUCUUCGAUCGAAUGCCGCAGCGCGACGCCUCUCUUCUCUAACUGAGAAUCUAAGAACUUCUGUAGCAGUAUUUUUCGAAAAUCGAAAAUUCGACCUGUUUGGACUGUAGAUCAUUCUAUCGCGUCAAUGGCGAAGACCGAUGUGGCAAUCUCGUUCCAAAGAAACUCGCCACGAACAAUGAAUGAAACGACAAGAUUCCUUGGAUUCCAAUUUUUUCAAAACAGUGACUGGAAGAUCCCCAGCUCACUGGCACUAAAAAGGGAACAAAAAAAUAAAAAUAAAAAAACGCGACGACGACGAUUGUCCAAAUAUCCCGUUUUUCCUUCUCUUUUUUCUUUUUUUCCCGUGUGCUGCUGCUG
rnacentral:lncRNA from 1 species